AAAAUUAUCGGAUGAGUUGUGGAUAGGAGUGAAAGGCUAAUCAAGCCUGGAGAUAGCUGGUUCUCCCCGAAAACUAUUUAGGUAGUGCCUCAUGUAUUACUCUCGGGGGUAGAGCACUGUUUUGGCUAGGGGGACAUCCCGUCUUACCAACCCGAUGCAAACUCCGAAUACCGAGAAGUACAAUCAUGGGAGACACACAGCGGGUGCUAACGUCCGUUGUGGAAAGGGAAACAACCCAGAUCGCCAACUAAGGUCCCAAAAUUACAGCUAAGUGGGAAACGAAGUGAGAAGUCAAAGACAGCCAGGAGGUUGGCUUAGAAGCAGCCAUCCUUUAAAGAAAGCGUAACAGCUCACUGGUCAAGUCGACUUGCGCGGAAGAUUUACCGGGGCUUAAGCUGUAUACCGAAGUUGCGAAUGCAUAUUUAUAUGCGUGGUAGGGGAGCGUUCUGUAAGUCUGUGAAGGUGUAUCGCGAGAUAUGCUGGAGAUAUCAGAAGUGAGAAUGCUGACAUGAGUAACGAUAAUGCGGGUGAAAAACCCGCACGCCGAAAACCCAAGGGUUCCUGCGCAAUGCUAAUCAGCGCAGGGUUAGUCGGUCCUAAGGCGAGACUGAAAAGUGUAGUCGAUGGACAACAGGUUAAUAUUCCUGUACCGCAAUUACUGCGAUGGGGGGACGGAGAAGGCUAAGCAUACCGGGUGUUGGUUAUCCCGGGAAAAGUAUGUAGGUAGGAAAUCUUAGAAAAUCUGGAUUUCUAUUACCGAGGUACGAGACCAUUGAUUUUUUAAUCAAGAAGUUGCUGACGCCAUGCUUCCAAGAAAAUCCUCUAAGCUUCAGGUAAAUUGUGACCGUACCCCAAACCGACACAGGUGGGUGGGAUGAGAAUUCUAAGGCGCUUGAGAAAACUCUGGUGAAGGAACUAGGCAAAUUGGUACCGUAACUUCGGGAGAAGGUACGCCUUUGUUGGUGAAAGAACUUGCUUCUAGAGCUAACGAAGGUCUCAGAUACCAGGUGGCUGCGACUGUUUAAUAAAAACACAGCACUCUGCUAACUCGCAAGAGGAUGUAUAGGGUGUGACGCCUGCCCGGUGCCGGAAGGUUAAUUGAUGGGGUUAGCUUUAUGCGAAGCUCUUGAUCGAAGCCCCGGUGAACGGCGGCCGUAACUAUAACGGUCCUAAGGUAGCGAAAUUCCUUGUCGGGUAAGUUCCGACCUGCACGAAUGGCGUAACGAUGGCCACAC
rnacentral:rRNA from 1 species